rnacentral:rRNA from 1 species
UUGAGCAUCAAACUUUUAAAUUGAAGAGUUUGAUCAUGGCUCAGAUUGAACGCUGGCGGCAGGCCUAACACAUGCAAGUCGAACGGUAACAGGAAGCAGCUUGCUGUUUCGCUGACGAGUGGCG